AUUGAACGCUGGCGGCAGGCCUAACACAUGCAAGUCGAACGAGUGGCGGACGGGUGAGUAAUGUCUGGGUAACUGCCUGAUGGAGGGGGAUAACUACUGGACACGGUAGCUAAUACCGCAUACCCUCGGAUGUGCCCAUAUGGGAUUAGCUAGUGGGUGGGGUAAAGGCUCACCUAGGCGACGAUCCCUAACUGGUCUGAGAGGAUGAUCAGCCACACUGGAACUGAGACACGGCCCAGACUCCUACGGGAGGCAGCAGUGGGGAAUAUUGCACAAUGGGCGAAAGCCUGAUGCAGCCAUGCCGCGUGUGUGAAGAAGGUCUUCGGAUUGUAAAGCACUUUAAGUUGGGAGGCGUUACCAACAGAAUAAGCACCGGCUAACUCCGUGCCAGCAGCCGCGGUAAUAC
rnacentral:rRNA from 1 species